AUUGAACGCUGGCGGCAGGCCUAACACAUGCAAGUCGAACGGUAACAGGAAGAAGCUUGCUUCUUUGCUGACGAGUGACGGACGGGUGAGUAAUGUCUGGGAAACUGCCUGAUGGAGGGGGAUAACUACUGGAAACGGUAGCUAAUACCGCAUAACGUCGCAAGACCAAAAAGGGGGACCUUCGGGCCUCUUGCCAUCGGAUGUGCCCAGAUGGGAUUAGCUAGUAGGUGGGGUAACGGCUCACCUAGGCGACGAUCCCUAGCUGGUCUGAGAGGAUGACCAGCCACACUGGAACUGAGACACGGUCCAGACUCCUACGGGAGGCAGCAGUGGGGAAUAUUGCACAAUGGGCGCAAGCCUGAUGCAGCCAUGCCGCGUGUAUGAAGAAGGCCUUCGGGUUGUAAAGUACUUUCAGCGGGGAGGAAGGGAGUAAAGUUAAUACCUUUGCUCAUUGACGUUACCCGCAGAAGAAGCACCGGCUAACUCCGUG
rnacentral:rRNA from 1 species